rnacentral:rRNA from 1 species
CCUACGGGGGGCAGCAGUAAGGAAUAUUGGUCAAUGGGCGCAAGCCUGAACCAGCCAUGCCGCGUGCAGGAAGACGGCCUACGGGUUGUAAACUGCUUUUAUACGGGAAUAUGUACUGUAAGAAUAAGGAUCGGCUAACUCCGUGCCAGCAGCCGCGGUAAUACGGAGGAUCCAAGCGUUAUCCGGAUUUAUUGGGUUUAAAGGGUGCGUAGGCGGCCUAUUAAGUCAGGGGUGAAAGACGGUAGCUUAACUAUCGCAGUGCCCUUGAUACUGAUGGGCUUGAAUACACUAGAGGUAGGCGGAAUGUGACAAGUAGCGGUGAAAUGCAUAGAUAUGUCACAGAACACCAAUUGCGAAGGCAGCUUACUAUGGUGUAUUGACGCUGAGGCACGAAAGCGUGGGGAUCAAACAGGAUUAGAUACCCGUGUAGUC